rnacentral:rRNA from 1 species
CGGACGGGUGAGUAACGCGUGAGAAUCUGCCCUCAGGAGGGGGAUAACGGCUGGAAACGGCCGCUAAUACCCCAUAUGCCGAGAGGUGAAAUGAAUUUCGCCUGAGGAUGAGCUCGCGUCUGAUUAGCUAGUUGGUAGGGUAAAGGCCUACCAAGGCUUCGAUCAGUAGCUGGUCUGAGAGGAUGAUCAGCCACACUGGGGCUGAGACACGGCCCAGACUCCUACGGGAGGCAGCAGUGGGGAAUUUUCCGCAAUGGGCGAAAGCCUGACGGAGCAACGCCGCGUGAGGGAUGAAGGCCUCUGGGCUGUAAACCUCUUUUAUCAAGGAAGAAGAUCUGACGGUACUUGAUGAAUAAGCCACGGCUAAUUCCGUGCCAGCAGCCGCGGUAAUACGGGAGUGGCAAGCGUUAUCCGGAAUUAUUGGGCGUAAAGCGUCCGCAGGCGGUCUUACAAGUCUGUCGUUAAAGCGUGGAGCUUAACUCCAUUUCAGCGAUGGAAACUGUAAGACUAGAGUGUGGUAGGGGCAGAGGGAAUUCCCGGUGUAGCGGUGAAAUGCGUAGAUAUCGGGAAGAACACCAGUGGCGAAGGCGCUCUGCUGGGCCAUAACUGACGCUCAUGGACGAAAGCCAGGGGAGCGAAAGGGAUUAGAUACCCCUGUAGUC